rnacentral:lncRNA from 1 species
GCUGCAUGGCCUACCCAUAGCGGCGGUGGGAGCCUCCGCCGGGGAGAGCCCGCUCGGGGGCAGGAAGUGGCCCGGCCCUCCUCGUGGAGGGCGUUUCCGGAGCGCCUACUGUGCUCCUUGCCGGGGUGGGGGUCGUUACCGAGUGGGAACUUCUGCAAAUCCUGACUUUUGUCACUUCGCGCCCCGCACAAGAUGUCCUGCCGGCGGUGCGAUUGGUCCCGUUGCUUCGAGGGGAAACUGAGGCCACUUAGUCCGGGCACUUACCCGCAGCUAGUUAAGGACUAGGCUCUGAUGGAGACGCUUGUUACGACCUCAAUGGCCUGUAGAAUCUGGGAGGCCGCCUCCGACCUAAGCCCAAAAAGCACAUGAUCGGGCUCACAGGGGGCGGCCAGAGGUGAAAACAGCCAACGCUUUACAACGACGCUGUGCGGGGCACUUCGUGUGUGUCAUCCCGUCUCAUCCUCGGGUGAUAGGAACUGUUCAUUCGGGAAAAUUGCAAACAACUAAAUACCCCUCACCAGGAGCUGGCCCAUUAUAGCAACUCUGAGACCUCUCUACCGCAGGCUCUUAAAAUGGGUUUUCAUCCCAACAGAAUUUUUCUGAGGAACUUGAUAUACAAAUUCUAUAAUUUAUAUUGGAAGAAUGAAGAUACAAGAAUAGUUUUUCUUUCUGCACAAAAAGGAUAAAGAAGGAGCACUCACCAGAUACCAAGGCGUGCUACAAAGCCAUGUGAUUCUGUCCAAGCUUAACAGUGGAUGUAACUGCUUCUUUGCUGUGGCAGAUUGUAUUUUCUGAAGGCCCCAACAGUCUCUCCUGUCCCUCCUCCUCUUCUGAAACCUUGAUACUUCCCUAUGAAGAG